rnacentral:rRNA from 1 species
GACAGAGGUGCCAAGCGUUAGGCGGAAUCACUGGGCUUAAAGCGUGUGUAGGCGGAUCGUUAAGUGCCUUGUGAAAUCCCAUGGCUUAACCAUGGAACUGCUCGGCAUACUGGCGGUCUUGAGCCAUCUAGGGGCUACCGGAACAAGCGGUGGAGCGGUGAAAUGCGUAGAGAUCGGGAGGAACACCGGUGGCGAAGGCGGCCAGCUGGCGCUGACCUGACGCUGAGGCGCGAAGGCAUGGGGAGCGAACGGG